rnacentral:rRNA from 1 species
GAUGAACGCUGGCGGCGUGCUUAACACAUGCAAGUCGAACGGUGAAGCAGGAGCUUGCUCCUGUGGAUCAGUGGCGAACGGGUGAGUAACACGUGAGUAACCUGCCCCAGACUCUGGGAUAAGCGUUGGAAACGACGUCUAAUACCGGAUACGAGACGAGAAGGCAUCUUCAUCGUCUGGAAAGAAUUUCGGUCUGGGAUGGACUCGCGGCCUAUCAGGUAGUUGGUGAGGUAACGGCCCACCAAGCCUACGACGGGUAGCCGGCCUGAGAGGGUGACCGGCCACACUGGGACUGAGACACGGCCCAGACUCCUACGGGAGGCAGCAGUGGGGAAUAUUGCACAAUGGGCGCAAGCCUGAUGCAGCAACGCCGCGUGAGGGACGACGGCCUUCGGGUUGUAAACCUCUUUUAGCAGGGAAGAAGCGAAAGUGACGGUACCUGCAGAAAAAGCACCGGCUAACUACGUGCCAGCCGCCGCCGUAAGAC